AUCCCUAUGUACCCUGGGCCUUCCAAAUUGCCUUCAUGCUUAUGUUCAGAGCUCUGCAGUGCCAGCAAAUGAGCAGCUAAGCCAUCGUAUGCAAUCACAUUUCUCCUGAAGAGCAGAUUCAGCUCCAGUCUACUCAAAUGCUCUUACUUGCUAAUGUAAACCACAACGCAUGUCUUGUCCUCUGUAAAACAUGUGAAACUCAGCUUAUUUUUUCAAAGUAAUACUGAUAGCAAUGUGCCUAUUCCCUUCUUCAUGGAACUUCCUUACCAGAAUCAGUUGAUUGUGGUUUGCAGUGUGUAAGAAGAUGGGUGUGGAGACAGAUGUCAAUGCAAAGCUGAGUAGGAAGGAAAAGAUUUCAUCCUCUUUUAAAUAGAGAAUUGAGGAGAAAUAGAACAAAGAGUAUGGACCAUUGCAUAUGAGAAGAUAUUUGGAAGAUACUGCAAUACAUUGUCAUUUCUAAAUGUAUUUUCUGGUGGUUUGUUCCUUUGUCUUUAUUUUCUUCC
rnacentral:lncRNA from 1 species